ACGGCCAUACCACAUUGAGGAAAACACCAGUUCUCAUCCGAUCACCAAAGUUAAGCAAUGUCGGGCCUGGUCAGUAUUUGGGAGGGUGACCACCUGGGAACACCUGGUGCUGUAGGCU